rnacentral:rRNA from 1 species
GACGAACGCUGGCGGCGUGCCUAAUACAUGCAAGUCGAGCGGAGUGGAUCCCUUCGGGGUGAAGCUUAGCGGCGGACGGGUGAGUAACACGUAGGCAACCUGCCAGUAAGCUGGGGAUAACUAACGGAAACGUUAGCUAAUACCGAAUGGUCAAGAGGAAGGCAUCUUCUUCUUGGGAAAGACGGAGCAAUCUGUCGCUUACGGAUGGGCCUGCGGCGCAUUAGCUAGUUGGUGAGGUAACGGCUCACCAAGGCGACGAUGCGUAGCCGAUCUGAGAGGGUGAACGGCCACACUGGGACUGAGACACGGCCCAGACUCCUACGGGAGGCAGCAGUAGGGAAUCUUCGGCAAUGGACGAAAGUCUGACCGAGCAACGCCGCGUGAGUGAUGAAGGUCUUCGGAUCGUAAAGCUCUGUUGCCAGGGAAGAACAGCUUCAUGUUAACUGCAUGGAGCCUGACGGUACCUGAGAAGAAAGCCACGGCUAACUACGUGCCAGCCGCCGCCGUAAAAC